GUGAGCCAGGAAUAGGAAGAAAGUAUCUAAUAGCACUAGGGAUAGGAACAUGAAGGAAAUCAUAAUCUAUUCCAUCUCUGGCAUUGGAGAUGGAGAUUUGGUUUAAUGUUUUCCUGAUGCCUCCUAUUCCUAAGGCUCUUAGGUUUUCCUUCCCUUUCCUAAUGGCU
rnacentral:pre_miRNA from 1 species